rnacentral:rRNA from 1 species
CCUACGGGUGGCAGCAGUGAGGAAUAUUGGUCAAUGGACGCAAGUCUGAACCAGCCAUGCCGCGUGCAGGAAGAAGGCUCUAUGAGUUGUAAAUUGCUUUUGUACGAGGGUAAACGCAGAUACGCGUAUCUGUCUCAAAGUAUCGUACGAAUAAAGAACGGCUAACUCCGGGCCGGCAGCCGCGGUUAUACGGAGGAUUCAAGCGUUAUCCGGAUUUAUUGGGUUUAACGGGUGGGUAGGCGGUCGGAUAAGUUAGAGGUGAAAUCCCGAGGCUCAACUUCGGAAUUGCCUCUGAUACUGUGCGGCUAGAGAGUAGUAGCGGUAGGCGGAAUGUAUGGUGUAGCGGUGAAAUGCGUAGAGAGCAUACAGAACACCGGUUGCGAAGGCAGCUUACCGAGCUACUUCUGACGUUGAGGCGCGAAAGCGUGGGGAGCAAACAGGAUUAGAUACCCCAGUAGUC